AACGAACGCUGGCGGCAUGCCUAACACAUGCAAGUCGAACGAGACCUUCGGGUCUAGUGGCGCACGGGUGCGUAACGCGUGGGAACCUGCCCUUAGGUUCGGAAUAACUCCCCGAAAGGGGUGCUAAUACCGGAUAAUGUCUUCGGACCAAAGAUUUAUCGCCGUUGGAUGGGCCCGCGUUGGAUUAGCUAGUUGGUAGGGUAAAAGCCUACCAAGGCGACGAUCCAUAGCUGGUCUGAGAGGAAGAGCAGCCACACUGGGACUGAGACACGGCCCAGACUCCUACGGGAGGCAGCAGUGGGGAAUAUUGGACAAUGGGCGAAAGCCUGAGCCAGCAAUGCCGCGUGAGUGAUGAAGGCCUUAGGGUUGUAAAGCUCUUUUACCCGGGAUGAUAAUGACAGUACCGGGAGAAUAAGCUCCGGCUAACUCCGUG
rnacentral:rRNA from 1 species